rnacentral:rRNA from 1 species
GCUUAACGCGAAGAACCUUACCAGGUCUUGACAUCCAGAGAACUUUCCAGAGAUGGAUUGGUGCCUUCGGGAGCUCUGAGACAGGUGCUGCAUGGCUGUCGUCAGCUCGUGUCGUGAGAUGUUGGGUUAAGUCCCGUAACGAGCGCAACCCGUUAUCCUUAUUUGCCAGCGGGUGAUGCCGGGAACUUUAAGGAGACUGCCGGUGACAGACCGGAGGAAGGUGGGGAUGACGUCAAGUCAUCGUGGCCCUUACGACCUGGGCUACACACGUGCUACAAUGGCGCGCACAGAGGGCGGCAACCCCGCGAGGGUGAGCAAAUCCCACAAAACGCGUCGUAGUCCGGAUUGGAGUCUGCAACUCGACUCCAUGAAGUCGGAAUCGCUAGUAAUCGUGAAUCAGAAUGUCACGGUGAAUACGUUCCCGGGUCUUGUACACACCG